rnacentral:piRNA from 1 species
UACCAUUCCGAAUCUGUAAAA